rnacentral:rRNA from 1 species
GACGAACGCUGGCGGCGUGCUUAGCACAUGCAAGUCGAGCGGUAAGGCCCUUUCGGGGGUACACGAGCGGCGAACGGGUGAGUAACACGUGGGUGACCUGCCCUCAGCUCUGGGAUAAGCCUGGGAAACUGGGUCUAAUACUGGAUAUGACUCCACGGUGCAUGUCGUGGGGUGGAAAGCCUUGUGCGGCUGAGGAUGGGCCCGCGGCCUAUCAGCUUGUUGGUGGGGUGAUGGCCUACCAAGGCGACGACGGGUAGCCGGCCUGAGAGGGCGACCGGCCACACUGGGACUGAGAUACGGCCCAGACUCCUACGGGAGGCAGCAGUGGGGAAUCUUGCGCAAUGGGCGAAAGCCUGACGCAGCGACGCCGCGUGAGGGAUGACGGCCU